CUUUUUAUUUUUCAUUUUCUUAGCGUCGUCUUGGAGACGCAGCCAAGAAAGCCAUCAGUAAAUUGACAACUAGAACGGUGAAAAAGGGCGAUAAGGAAACAGACCCAGACUUCGAUCACUGUGCAGUCUGCAUAGAGAGCUAUAAACAGAAUGAUGUUGUUCGGGUUCUCCCCUGCAAGUCCUUAACGGGACACCCAGAGACUGCAGAGCUGUGAGAACAACUCACCUCCAGUGUACACGCCUCCCCCAGCCCCACUGGUUUUUGACCUCUCUAUUCUGGUCCCUGGGGAGUAGGGGGAAGAGCCCCUGCAUUCAGUGUUGCAGGCUUUGUUCCUUCCACAGUCUGCAUUUCCCAUUUUGUAUCUCACAGCAUUUUUUGCAGAAAUAAAGGACAUAGUGGAAGCUCUGAUA